rfam:Pan troglodytes isolate Yerkes chimp pedigree #C0471 (Clint) chromosome 2B, whole genome shotgun sequence.
GCCAGGUGUGGUGGUGGACACCUGUAAUCCCAGCUACUCAGGAGGCUGAGGCAGGAGAAUUGCUUGAAUCCAGGAGACGGAGGUUGCGGUGAGCCGACACAGUGCCACUGCACUCCACCCUGGGUGACAGAGCAAGACUCUGUCUCAA